AUUUUAGCACUUAAAACUCAACAAUCACAUCACCCAAAACCCCACAAGUCCCCCUGGGAUUCAAGGGCAUAACUUAAUUACUUUGGACUUGGAAAUCCUUCAUGACGUAGAUACCAUUAGUCAAAUUUAAAACAACAGUAAAUGCAGUCACAGAAGAGGGGAGUACCCAGAAAAAGAUUGAAAUGAAUCCUCAGCUUCUGGACAUACUAGGAAAUACCUUGCUCUUGACAAUGUAUGGGCUGCCACCAAUACAGAAUUCACAGAGGUCAUAGGACUGGAAUUCAGCAGCACAGAGGAUCACAAUUGCAAAUGGAAGGUCUCCAUAGGAGUUGCAGGAGACUCCUCCAGCAUGUGUUUUCACAAACCAAGAACACUAAAUCCUCUUCCGCAGAGUUUGAAGCCAGAAGGGACCACCUGAAGUGGAGCAAAGGUGAAGGGGAGUGAGUGAGGAGAGAAGGGAGCACACAUCUGAAUGCAGAGAUGUAAGGUCAAUGCUAUCUCAGAGCUGGCAUGCCCAAGAAGUUAAAGCAAGCUGGGGAAAAGCCAGGGACAGAGCUGUGUCUCAGCAGCACACAGCCUGUUUUAGCAGGAAAGGCAAUGCUGCAGCAUUCCCUCUUUCUGGGGUGACACAUCCAUGUACAUUUCCAGUGCCCAGGAAUGGCAGUUUGCCAGCAUCCAUGAGAUGGAGGAGAGCCUCCCCAUAUGUUAAGGCUGGUAAAGAGGAGAAAGCAUAUCAGAAGCUGGGAAGCAGAAGUAUGUGUAGAGUCAUCCUUAUCCUAAAUGUAGAAGGUUUUUGCCAUUUAUUCACCGCUUUCUGCACUCUUAAUUAUCUUCCACACCUUCCACACUCAGGUACUUAGAGUGCAUAAACCACCAUUUAACAUACAAUAUAAAAGUUUCCCAUACAUUAGUCCCAUACAUUGACUGAAUUUCGCAAGUUUCUUGUGGUAUAUAUACCAGUGUUGUAAAUUGUACCAAACUGGAAACCAUGUCGAACUGCUUGACCUCUAUAACCAUUGUGGAGACAAUGGUUUUCUGAACACAGCUCCUUCUCUCCAGUUCACUUUAUCUCUUUUUUUUUCCUGGAGGAACACAUUUAUACUGGGCCAUAUUGACUCCAAAGGACCACACUAAACCCAGACUGAAGUAAAACCUUUAAAUUAAAAUCCUUAAAUUUCAGGACUGGUGCCCUGCAGAUGUAAGGCAGGGCACCAGUCAACUCCUUCAACCUACUGAUCUGCUUCUUGUGCACCUUCAGCAACUGAAUACAGAUCAUGAUCUCCAUUCCUGAUGACUGGUGAACUGAUAUCAGAUUUACCAAGUCAUAUUGUUCACUUCUAUGAAUCAUGAAAAUAAAUUUGUGCUCUUCCAAUACCACUCACCACUAGACUAGAUGCUUUCUUAGUUUAUUCUUCGGGUUCCUUAAAACAUACGGAUCUUGAGGCACUUUGGCUGUCCUCUACUGUAGGGAACUGAGAGAAGAUCUAGUGCCUUCCAGAAGCAAGAGCCCGUGAGAGCUUGGCAAUGGUGUCAAGCAGCAUCCUACUAUCCCACCAGUUAAAGAGGAUAACAGCACUUGCCUAUCUAUCUAACACUGCUUUGGGAAGAGAGAGGAUAAAAUACACAGAAAUGUUAAAUCCCAGCUACCCUUGGGAAAAUUACUUCCUAGAUGAAAAGAUUUUACUUCCAAGAUAUUUUCCAUGCUCCCAAUUUGAAUCUUCACUGCUGUGAUUCCCGUUGCUGCAUUCACACAACAUGGCAUUACCCUGAACCCAUAUCUGCCAUUCUCACACAUGCACUG